rnacentral:rRNA from 1 species
CCUACGGGAGGCAGCAGUGGGGAAUCUUGCGCAAUGGGCGGAAGCCUGACGCAGCAACGCCGCGUGCGGGAAGAAGGCCUUAGGGUCGUAAACCGCUUUCAGGGGGGACGAAGCUUCCGGGGUUAAUAGCCUACGGGGUGACGGUACUCCCAAAAGAAGGUCCGGCUAACUACGUGCCAGCAGCCGCGGUAAUACGUAGGGACCGAGCGUUGUCCGGAAUCAUUGGGCGUAAAGAGCGUGUAGGCGGCCUAGUAGGUCUCGUGUGAAAUCCCGUGGCUCAACCACGGACACGCACGGGAAACCCCUAGGCUCGAGUCCGGAAGAGGAGAGCGGAAUUCCUGGUGUAGCGGUGAAAUGCGCAGAUAUCAGGAAGAACACCCGUAGCGAAGGCGGCUCUCUGGGACGGUACUGACGCUGAGACGCGAAAGCGUGGGGAGCAAACAGGAUUAGAUGCCCUGGUAGUCCACGCCGUAAACGAUGGAUGCUAGGUGUGGGAGGUGUCGACUCUCCCGUGCCGAAGCUAACGCAUUAAGCAUCCGCCUGGGAGUACGGCGCAAGGCUAAACUUAAGGAAUUGACGGCUGAGACGUGCGAGCGACGACGAGGAGAG